GACGAACGCUGGCGGCGUGCCUAAUACAUGCAAGUAGGACGCAGUUGCGAACGUGUGAGUAACGCGUCAGUAACUACCUAUUAUAGGGGGAUAACUAUUGGAAACGAUAGCUAAUACCGCAUACUAGUAGAAGGACCUGAGUUGUAUUAGCUAGUAGGUAGGGUAAUGGCCUACCUAGGCAACGAUACAUAGCCGAACUUAGGGGUAGAGCGGCCACACUGGGAAUGAGACACGGCCCAGAAUCCGUCAGGAGGCAGCAGUAGGGAAUCUUCGGCAAUGGGGGGAACCCUAACCGGGCAACGCCGCGAGAGUGAAGAAGGUUUUCGGAUCGUAAAGCUCUUUUGUUAAGUAAGAGCUCCUUACCCAGAAAGAGACGGCUAACUACGUGCCAGCAGCCGCGGUAGUAC
rnacentral:rRNA from 1 species